rnacentral:rRNA from 1 species
UACGGGGGGGGCAAGCGUUGUUCGGAAUUAUUGGGCGUAAAGGGCUCGUAGGCGGUUCGUCGCGUCGGGAGUGAAAACUCGGAGCUCAACUCCGAGCCUGCUUCCGAUACGGGCAGACUAGAGGUAGGCAGGGGAGAGCGGAACUCCUGGUGUAGCGGUGGAAUGCGCAGAUAUCAGGAGGAACACCAGUGGCGAAGGCGGCAUCCUGGACCGAGAUUGACGCUGAGGCGCGAAAGCUAGGGGAGCAAACGGG